CAUUAGCUGAUUUGUUUCUCCUGUGAGAGGUGGAGUGUAGCCUGGGCUCCAGCACUGGUAACUUUUCCUGAGCUUGAAAGUAGCCAGUCAGUUACCACAGGUUGUGCCAGGCCUUGGUGUAUUUGCCCUGGUAAUCUCUGUGGAUUCUCAGCUCCCAGAUCAGUGCUAAAUUCUGGGAAUACCAUGCAGAUGGGAGCCGAGCUAGGUACUUGCAACAGACAUGAGCACCUGUACUUGAGAAUGAAGUCUGUGAGAUAAAUUAGUACUUCAGUUACCCUGGAGGGAUCACUGCCAGGAUCCUUUGUGCUGGCUUUGUUUCUGUGGGAGACCAGGACUCCUGGCAGGGGAAGAAAUAUUAGAGGUGAGCGCUCUCUGAAGU
rnacentral:lncRNA from 1 species